AAAAAAGUAACUAAAGUGCUUGGAAUUGAUAAAGAUUUGAACCCAUGAUCAGAAUUGAGUAACCACAUAACCUUCCUCUAUAUCCGAUGAUUCUUUACAAAUGAAAACCUGCCACCAAGGUAUAGUGAGCUUGGAGGAUGCGCAGAAUGUUCAAUGUUAUCUGGGGAGAAAAUGAUAAAAACAAAAAUACGGAAAUCAUUCACUAUACCUUGCAAGCUGUACUUCAGGACUGGAUGUCAGCAGAUACUUAUGUUAUCUUAAAGGAGCAACAGCAGCUAUUGUUUCGUAAACUUCACCACCUCGUCCAAUAUAACCAAGCACACCAUCAUCUUUCUUCAUCACAACCCACGCUGUCUCUCCAUAUUCAUUCGGAGUCAAACCCUCACUGAGGUAUAGCAGAAGUGUAAAUUCUUCCUGGGAAGAAAAGAUGGUUCUGCAUCAAAUCCGUUAAGAUGAGCAUUUGCUUUGCAAAGAUGUGACCUCCAUUGUAUCAACUCAUUCAAAGUGAAUAAAUCAUCGAAGAUAUAAAUUGGUCUAAAGAAAACUUUGAAUAAACUUUCACUUUUCGAUGUGAAAUAAUGUUAAUCAAUGAAGUUGCACUGAUGAUAAAUUCACAGCAUCAGUGCAUAGCAUUAUAAAUAAAAUAUAGUUUGUUUGAAUUUGUUA